rnacentral:rRNA from 1 species
UACGUAGGCAGCAAGCGUUGUUCGGAAUUACUGGGCGUAAAGAGUGUGUAGGCGGUGCCCUAAGUUUGGUGUGAAAUCUCCCGGCUCAACUGGGAGGGUGCAUCGAAAACUGGGGUGCUCGAGGGUGGGAGAGGUAAGCGGAAUUCCUGGUGUAGCGGUGAAAUGCGCAGAUAUCAGGAGGAACACCGGUGGCGAAGGCGGGUCUCUGGGCCGAUAUUGACGCUGAGGAGCGAAAGCGUGGGGAGCAAACAGG